CCUACGGGGGGCUGCAGUCGAGAAUCUUCCGCAAUGCGCGAAAGCGUGACGGAGCAAUGCCGCGUGCCGGAUGAAGGUCUUCGGAUUGUAAACGGCUGUCACUGGGGACGAAUUAUGACUGUACCCGGAGAGGAAGCCACGGCUAACUACGUGCCAGCAGCCGCGGUAAUACGUAGGUGGCGAGCGUUGUUCGGAUUUAUUGGGCGUAAAGGGUCCGCAGGGGGUUGAUUAAGUCUGAUGUGAAAUCUCACGGCUCAACUGUGAAACUGCAUUGGAGACUGGUCAACUAGAGCAUCGGAGAGGAGAGCGGAAUUCCUGGUGUAGCGGUGGAAUGCGUAGAUAUCAGGAAGAACACCAAAAGCGAAGGCAGCUCUCUGGACGAUUGCUGACCCUCAGGGACGAAAGCGUGGGGAGCAAACAGGCUUAGAUACCCUAGUAGUC
rnacentral:rRNA from 1 species